rnacentral:rRNA from 1 species
AAGCCCCGCCUGUUUACCAAAAACAUCGCCUCUUGCAUUACUAAAAUAAGAGGUCCCGCCUGCCCUGUGACUAUAUGUUUAACGGCCGCGGUAUUUUAACCGUGCGAAGGUAGCGCAAUCACUUGUCUUUUAAAUAGAGACCUGUAUGAAUGGCAUAACGAGGGCUUGACUGUCUCCUUUUUCCGGUCAAUGAAAUUAAUCUCCCCGUGCAGAAGCGGGGAUACCAACAUAAGACGAGAAGACCCUGUGAAGCUUUAAGACAACAAGCAGACCAAACUAACCACCCCAAACAAAUGGACUAAAGCACAGGACCCUGCCCUAAUGUCUUCGGUUGGGGCGACCACGGAGAAACAAAAAACCCCCAUGUGGACCAGGAGCACCCCCACCUCCCCCUCCACCCUCCCAUAACCAAGAGUAACAACUCAAAGUACCAAAAUCCUUGACCAAACAUGAUCCGGCAACGCCGAUUAACGAACCAAGUUACUCCAGGGAUAACAGCGCAAUCCCCUUCUAGAGCCCAUAUCGACAAGGGGGUUUACGACCUCGAUGUUGGAUCAGGACAUCCUAAUGGUGCAGCCGCUAU